UACAAUUCUGAUCUUGCAGGUGAAAUAUUACAAAUUUCCUCCAACACUUUAAUCAGAUUUUGUCGAAAUAAUAGAAAUAUGUCUGCAGUUUGUCUUGCCUAUGCCUUAUUCACAUAUCUUGCUCCAAGAAGAUUGUCGACCUGCUUCGUUGCUAUUCUAUAAAUGGUUAUACGCAGGUUAGACAAAAUAAGUUAGAGCGGGACUAAUUGGCAGUGGAGUGAGAGGAGUCUUAACAUGGGAAAGAACAAGCA